CCUACGGGAGGCAGCAGUGAGGAAUAUUGGUCAAUGGCCGGAAGGCUGAACCAGCCAAGCCGCGUGAGGGAGGAAGGCGCAGAGCGUCGCAGACCUCUUUUGCCGGGGGACAAAAGGCCGGACUCGUCCGGUCCUGAGGGUACCCGGAGAAAAAGCAUCGGCUAACUCCGUGCCAGCAGCCGCGGUAAUACGGAGGAUGCGAGCGUUAUCCGGAUUUAUUGGGUUUAAAGGGUGCGUAGGCGGAUCGUUAAGUCAGUGGUCAAAUUGAGGGGCUCAACCCCUUCCCGCCAUUGAAACUGGCGUUCUUGAGUGGAAGAGAAGUAUGCGGAAUGCGUGGUGUAGCGGUGAAAUGCAUAGAUAUCACGCAGAACCCCGAUUGCGAAGGCAGCAUGCCGGCUUCCGACUGACGCUGAAGCACGAAAGCGUGGGGAUCGAACAGGAUUAGAUACCCUUGUAGUC
rnacentral:rRNA from 1 species